CCUACGGGAGGCAGCAGUGGGGAAUAUUGGGCAAUGGAGGAAACUCUGACCCAGCGACGCCGCGUGCGGGAUGAAGGCCUUCGGGUUGUAAACCGCUUUCAGUAGGGAAGAAGCGAAAGUGACGGUACCUACAAAAGAAGCACCGGCUAACUAUGUGCCAGCAGCCGCGGUAAUACAUAGGGUGCAAGCGUUGUCCGGAAUUAUUGGGCGUAAAGAGCUCGUAGGUCGUUUGUUACGUCGGAUGUGAAAACCUGAGGCUCAACCUCAGGCCUGCAUUCGAUACGGGCAAACUAGAGUUUGGUAGGGGAGACUGGAAUUCCUGGUGUAGCGGUGGAAUGCGCAGAUAUCAGGAGGAACACCAAUGGCGAAGGCAGGUCUCUGGGCCAAUACUGACACUGAGGAGCGAAAGUCUGGGGAGCGAACAGGAUUAGAUACCCUGGUAGUCCAGACCGUAAACGGUGGGCACUAGUUGUGGGAACCUUCCACGGUUUCUGCGACGCAGCUAACGCAUUAAGUGCCCCGCCUGGGGAGUACGAGCGCGAGAUAAACUACAANAGAGUAAGUAGCGUUGAGAGUUGCGAGCGACGACGAGGGAGAGG
rnacentral:rRNA from 1 species